AUUGAACGCUGGCGGCAGGCCUAACACAUGCAAGUCGAACGAGUGGCGGACGUGUGAGUUAUGUCUGGGACACUGUGCGAUGGGGGGGGAUCACUACUGGAAACGGUCGCUAAUACCGCAUACUAUCGGAUGUGCCCAGGUGGGAUUAGCUAGUGGGUGGGGUAACGGCUCACCUAGGCGACGAUCCCUAGCUGGUCUGAGAGGAUGACCAGCCACACGGGAACUGAGACACGGUCCAGACUCCUACGGGAGGCAGCAGUGGGGAAUAUUGCACAAUGGGCGCAAGCCUGAUGCAGCCAUGCCGCGUGUGUGAAGAAGGCCCUAGGGUUGUAAAGUACUUUCAGUCGGGAGGCGUUACCGACAGAAGAAGCACCGGCUAACUCCGUGCCAGCAGCCGCGGUAAUUC
rnacentral:rRNA from 1 species